rnacentral:rRNA from 1 species
CAAUAGCGUAUGCUAAAUUUGUUGCAGUUAAAAAGCUCGUAGUUGGAUCUCGAGUGUAGCCGGUCGGUAGGACCUGGAAACGGCCCACACUGGCUCGUGCUGACUCGUUGUGUCGGUUUACCUGGAGUGCCCUUAACUGGGUGUUCUAGGCGGUCGAAACGUUUACUUUGAAAAAUUAGAGUGUUCAAAGCAGGCCGGAGUAGCCUGAAUAAUGUUGCAUGGAAUAAUGGAAGAGGACCUCGGUUCGAUUUUGUUGGUUUCGGAACUUGAGGUGAUGAUUAAGAGGGACAGCCGGGGGCAUUCGUACUGCGGCGUUAGAGGUGAAAUUCUUGGAUCGCCGCAAGACGAACUACUGCGAAAGCAUUUGCCAAGAAUGUUUUCAUUAAUCAAGAACGAAAGUUAGGGGAUCGAAGACGAUUAGAUACCGU